UGUUCCCAAAAACAAAAAAAAAGGAUGGAAUUUCAUUUCACAGAUUGCCGACAGAUGUUGUUCUACGCGAGGAAUGGGUUUCUAUUAUUCGCCAAAGCAGGCAAGACAAUAAUUGGCAGGCAUCAAUAUUUUGCGUUGUGUGUUCAUUACAUUUUAAAGAGGAUGGCUUAUGCUUUACCGAAAAAUGUCGAAGGUUGAUAAAAAAAUUCCAAUGUAAUUAUUUGUAAUACUAUCUAAUCUUUUGGUCUAGUCUUUAACUUGUCUGUAUAUCGAUGUAUGUGUGUGUGUGAAUAAAUGAUUAUUAUUAUUAUUA